rnacentral:lncRNA from 1 species
UUUGAACUUUGUUUGUGGUGUUUUUGAACUUGAGUUUUUGAUGUUUUUGAACUUGAGGGUGUGUUGUGUUUUUGAACUUGAGUUUGUGGUGUUUUUGAACUUGAGUUUGUUUCGUGUUUGAACUUGAGUUUGUGGCGUUUGUUGAACUCUAGGUUGUGGCAAUUGUUGAACUUGAGAUUUGGGUUUUGGUUCAACUUAAAAGUUUGGCAUUUGUUGAACAUGAGUUUGUGUGUUUGUUGAACUUAAGUUUGUGUCUUGUUUGAACUUAAGUUUGUGUCUUGUUUGAACUUGAGUUUGUGGUGUUUUCAAACUUGAGUUUUUGGUGUCUUUGAACUUGAGUUUUUGGUGUUUUUGAACUUGAGUUUGAAUCGUGUUUGAACUUGAGUUUGUGGUGUUUUUGAACUUGAGUUUGUGGUGUUUUUGAACUUGAGGUGUUGGAAAUUGUGAAACUUGAGAAUUGGGUAUUGGUUGAACUUGAGUGUGUUUUUUGAACUUGAGGUUGUGGUGUUUUUGAACUUGAGUUUGUGGUGUUUUGUACUUGAGUUUGUGUUAUUUUUCAACUUGAGGUUGUGGAACUUGUUAAACUUGAGAAUCAGGUGUUGAUUGAACUUGAGUAUUUGUUUUUUUUUAACUUGAGUUUGUGUCGUGUUUGAGCUCGAGUUUGUGGUGUUUUUGAAUUUGAGUUUGCGUGUUUGUUAAACUUGAGUUUGUGUUUUUUUAACUUGAGUUUGUUGUUUCUGAACUUGAGUUUGUGGCAAUUGUCUAACUUGAGUUUGACAUUUGUUGAACUUGGGUUUGUGGUUUUUGUUGAACUUGAGUUUGUGGUGUUUUUGAACUUGAGGUUGUGGAAUUUGUUAAACUUGAGAAUUGGGUAUUGGUUGAAAUUGAGUUUGUGUGUUUGUUGAACUUGAGUUUGUGUCGUGUUUGAACUUGAGUUUAUGUUUUUUUUGAACUUGAGUUUGUGGUGUUUUUGAACUUGAGGUUUUUAGAAAUUGUUGAACUUGAAAAUUUGGUAUUGGAUGAACUUGAGUUUGUGUGUUUGUUGAACUUGAGUUUGUGUCGUGUUUGAACUUUGGUUUGUGGUGUUUUUUGAGCCUGAGGUUGUGGUGUUUUUGAACUUGAGUUUGUGUUGCUUUUGAACUUUAGGUUGUGGCAAUUUCUAAAAUUGAGAUUUGGGUGUUGGUUGAACUUAAAAGUUUGUCAUUUGUUGAACUUGAGUUUGUGGUUUUUGUUGAACUUGAGUUUGUGUCGUGUUUGAACUGUAGGUUGUGGUUUUUUUGAGCUCGAGUAUUUGUGAUUGUUGAACUUAAGUUUUUGGUGUGUUUGAACUUGAGUUUGUGUUUUUUUUUAAGUUGAGGUUGUGGUUUUUUGAACUUCAGUUUGUGGAAAUUGUUAAACUUGAGGAUUGGGUGGUGGUUGAACUUGAGUUUGUGGUGUUUUUAGAACUUGAGGUUGUGGUGUUUUUGACUUGAGUUCGUGGCGUGUUUGAACUUCAGUUUGUGGAAAUUGUUAAACUUGAGGAUUGGGUGUUGGUUGAACUUGAGUUUGUGGUGUUGUUUGAACUUGAGUUUGUGGUGUUUUUUGAGCUUGAGGUUGUGGUGUUUUUGAGCUUGAGUUUGUGGCAUGUUUUAACUUGAGGUUGUGGAAAAACGUAAACUUGAGAUUUGGGUGUUGAUUGAACUUGAGUUUGUUUCGUGUUUGAUCUUGAGGUUGUGGUGUUUUUGAACUUGAGGUUUCUUGUUUGUUUAACUUGAGUUUGUGUGUUUUUUGAACUUGAGUUUGUUGUUUCUGAACUUGAGGUUUUGGCAAUUGUUGAACUUGAGUCUGUGGUUUUUAGUGAACUUUAGUUGGUUGCAAUUGUUGAACAUGAGUUUAUGGCGUUUGUUGAACUUGAGUUUGUGACGUGGAUGAACUUGAGUUUGUGUUAUUUUUGAACUUGAGGUUGUGGCAAUUUCUAAAAUUGAGAAUUGGGUGUUGGUUGAACUUAAAAGUUUGACAUUUGUUGAACUUGAGUGUGGUUUUUGUUGAACUUGAGUUUGUUUCGUGUUUGAACUUGAGGUUGUGGUGUUUUUGAACUUGAGGUUUCUUGUUUGUUUAACUUGAGUUUUUGGCGUGUUUGAACUUGAGUUUGUGGUUUUUUUAACUUGAGGUUGUGGUUUUUUGAACUUCAGUUUGUGGAAAUUUUUAAACUUGAGGAUUGGGUGGUGGUUGAACUUGAGUUUGUGGUGUUUUUUUAACUUGAGGUUGUGGUGUUUUUGACUUGAGUUCGUCGCGUGUUUGAACUUGAGGUUGUUGCAAUUGUUAAACUUGAGAUUUGGGUGUAUGUUGAACUCCAGUUUGUGUUGUGUUUGAACUUGAGGUUGUGGUAUUUUUUAAUUGAGUUUGUGGCGGUUUUUGAACUUGAGUUUGUGGCGUGUUUGAACUUGAGAUUGUGGCGUGUUUGAACUUGAGUUUGUGGUGGUUUUUGAACUUGAGGUUGUGAAAAUUGUUAAAACUAUAGAAUUAGGUGUUGGUUGAACUUGAGUUUGUGGGGUUUUUUUAGCUUGAGUUUGUGGUUUUUGUUGAACUUGAGUUUGUGUCGUUUUUGAGCUUGAGGUUGUGGUGUUUUUAAACUUGAGUUUGCGUGUUUGUUUAACUUGAGUUUGUGUGUUUUUUUAACUUGAGUUUGUUGUUUCUGAAGUUGAGGUUUUGGCAAUUGUUGAACUUGAGUCUGUUGUUUUUAGUGAACUUUAGUUGGUGGCAAUUGUUGAACUUGAGUUUGUGGCAUUUGUUAAACUUGAGUUUGUGACGUGUUUAAACAUGAUUUUGUGGUGUUUUUGAACUCGAGUUUGUGGUGUUUUUGAACUUGAGGUUGUGGAAAUUGUUAAACUUGAGAAUUGGGUAUUGGUUGAACUUGAGUUUGUGUGUUUGUUGAACUUGAGUUUGUGUCAUGUUUGAACUUCAGUUUGUGGUGUUUUUGAACUCGAGUUUUUGUGUUUAUUGAACUUCAGUUUGUGUCGUGUUUGAACUUGAGUUUGUGGUGUUUUUUGAACUUGAAGUUGUGUGUUUUUUUGAACUUGAGUUUGUGGCGGUUUUUGAACUUGAGGUUGUGGCAAUUGUUGAACUUGAGUUUGUGACGUGUUUGAACUUGAUUUUGUGGUGUUUUUGAACUUGAGUUUGUGGUGUUUUUGAACUUGAGUUCGUGGUGUUUGUGGAAUUUGAGUUUGUGUCGUGUUUGAACUUGAGGUUGUGGUGUUUUUCAACUCGAGUUUUUGUGUUUGUUGAACUUCAGUUUGUGUCGUGUUUGAACUUGAGUUUGUGGUGUUUUUUGAACUUGAGUUUGUGGUGUUUUUUGAACUUGAGGUUGUGGUGUUUUUGACUUGAGUUCGUGGCGUGUUUGAACUUGAGGUUGUUGCAAUUGUUAAACUUGAGAUUCGGGUGUUGGUUGAACUUAAAACUUUGCCAUUUGUUGAACUUGAGUUUGUGGUGUAUGUUGAACUCCAGCUUGUGUUGUGUUUGAACCUGAGUUUGUGGCGGUUUUUGAACUUGAGUUUGUGGCGUGUUUGAACUUGAGAUUGUGGCGUGUUUGAACUUGAGUUUGUGGUGGUUUUUGAACUUGAGGUUGUGAAAAUUGUUAAAACUUGAGAAUCAGGUGUUGGUUGAACUUGAGUUUGUGGUUUUUGUUGAACUUGAGUUUGUGGUUUUUGUUGAACUUGAGUUUGUGUCGUGUUUGAACUUGAGGUUGUGGUGUUUUUGAACUUGAGGUUUCUUGUUUGUUUAACUUGAGUUUGUGUGUUUUUUGAACUUGAGUUUGUUGUUUCUGAACUUGAGGUUUUGGCAAUUGUUGAACUUAAGUCUGGUUUUUAGUGAAAUUUAGUUGGUUGCAAUUGUUGAACAUGAGUUUAUGGCGUUUGUUGAACUUCAGUUUGUGACGUGGAUGAACUUGAGUUUGUGUUAUUUUUGAACUUGAGGUUGUGGCAAUUUCUAAAAUUGAGAAUUGGGUGUUGGUUGAACUUAAAAGUUUGACAUUUGUUGAACUUGAGUUUGUGUGUUUGUUGAACUUGAGUUUGUGUCGUGUUUGAACUUGAGGUUGUGGUUUUUUUGAACUCGAGUUUUUGUGUUUGUUGAACUUCAGUUUGUGGAAAUUUUUAAACUUGAGGAUUGGGUGGUGGUUGAACUUGAGUUUGUGGUGUUUUUUGAACUUGAGGUUGUGGUGUUUUUGACUUGAGUUCGUGGCGUGUUUGAACUUGAGGUUGUUGCAAUUGUUAAACUUGAGAUUUGGGUGUUGGUUGAACUUAAAACUUUGCCAUUUUUUGAACUUGAGUUUGUGGUGUAUGUUGAACUCCAGCUUGUGUUGUGUUUGAACUUGAGGUCGUGGUAUUUUUGAAUUGAGUUUGUGGAGGUUUUUGAACUUGAGUUUGUGGCGUGUUUGAACUUGAGAUUGUGGCGUGUUUGAACUUGAGUUUGUGGUGGUUUUUGAACUUGAGGUUGUGAAAAUUGUUAAAACUUGAGAAUCAGGUGUUGGUUGAACUUGAGUUUGUGGUUUUUGUUGAACUUGAUUUUGUGCUUUGAUUGAACUUUAGUUUAUGUUUUUUUUGUACUUGAGUUUGUGUUGUUUUUGAACUUGAGGUUGUGGAAAUUGUAAAAACUUGAGAAUCAGGUGUUGGUUGAACUUGAGUUUGUGGUUUUUGUUGAACUUGAGUUUGUGUGUUUUUUUAACUUGAGUUUGUUGUUUCUGAACUUGAGGUUUUGGCAAUUGUUGAACUUGAUAAUUGGGUAUUGGUUGAACUUGAGUUUGUGUGUUUGUUGAACUUGAGUUUGUGUCGUGUUUGAACUUCAGUUUGUGGUGUUUUUUUGAACUUGAGGUUGUGGUGUUUUUGAACUUGAGUUUUUGGUGUUUUUGAACUUGAGGUUGUGGCAAUUGUUGAACUUCAGUUUGUGACGUGUUUGAACUUGAUUUUGUGGUGUUUUUGAACUCGACUUUGUUUUGUUUUUGAACUUGAGUUCGUGGUGUUUGUUGAACUUGAGUUUGUGUCGUGUUUGAACUUGAGGUUGUGGUGUUUUUGAACUCGAGUUUUUGUGUUUGUUGAACUUGAGUUUGUGUCGUGUUUGAACUUGAGUUUGUGGUGUUUUUUGAACUUGAGGUUGUGGUGUUUUUGAACUUGAGUUUGUGGCGGUUUUUGAACUUGAGGUUGUUGCAAUUGUUGAACUUGAAAUAAAAACCCAAAUAUGAACCCAAAUAUAUAUUUUUUCUUUUUACAUUUUUUUGGUGUAACCAACUCCAAAAGGUCUUAAACAUGUUCCUAAAAAGGUUUUGGACAGUGAUUUUAACCCUAACACCAAAAACCUUAAACCUUACCCUAGCCCCAAAACCUAAUACCCGGGUAUUACCUUCAGGAAGCCCGAACACCCCAAAUUUUUUUUUUUCUUUUUUUUUUUUUCUAACUAACUCCCAAAGGUCUGAAACAUGUUCCUUAAAAAAUAUUGGACAGUUAUUUUGACCCUAACGCCAAAAACCUUAAACCUAACCCUGGCCCCAAAACCACCCGGGUAUUACCUUCAGGAAGCCCGAACACCCCAAAUAUUUUUUUUUCAUUUAUCUUUUUUUUUUUGUCUAACUUUAUCCCAAAGGUUGGAAAAGAAUUCCUACAAUGGUUUUGGACAGUGAUUUUUACCCUCACGCCCAAAAACCUUAAACCUUACCCUAGCCCCAUAACCUAAUACCCGGGUAUUACCUUCAGGAAGCCCGAACACCCCAAAUAUAUAUUUUUAUUUUCAUUUUUUUUUCGUCUAACUAACUCCAAAAGGUCUGAAACAUGUUCCUUAAAAAAUAUUGGAGAGUGAUUUUAACCCUUACGCCAAAAACCUUAAACCUAAUCCUAGCCCCAUAACCAAAUACUUAAACCUGAAGGGUAUUACCUUCAGGAAGCCCGAACACCCCAAAUAUUUUUUUUGUCAUUUUACAUUUUUUUUUGGUGUAACCAACUCCAAAAGGUCUUAAACAUGUUCCUUAAAAGGGUUUGGACAGUGAUUUCAACCCUAACGCCAAAAACCUUAAACCUUACCCUAGCCCCAAAACCUAAUACCUUCAGGAAGCCCGAAAACCCCAAAUAUUUUUUUUUUUUUUUUUUUUUUUUUUUGGUCUAACUAACUCCAAAAGGUCUGAAACAUGUUCCUUAAAAAAUAUUGGACAGUGAUUUUAACCCUAACGCCAAAAACCUUAAACCUAAUCCUAGCCCCAUUACCUAAUACCCGGGUAUUACUUUCAGGAAGUCAGAACACCCCAAAUAUUUUUUUUUCAUUUAUCUUUUUUUUUUUUGUCUAACUUAAUCCCAAAGGUUGGAAAAGAGUUCCUACAAAGGUUUUGGACAGUGAUUUUUACCCUCACGCCCAAAAACCUUAAACCUUACCCUAGCCCCAUAACCUAAUACCCGGGUAUUACCUUCAGGAAGCCCGAAAACCCCAAAUAUAUAUAUAUAUAUUUUCUUUUUUUUUGUCUAACUAACUCCAAAAGGUCUGAAACAUGUUCCUUAAAAAAUAUUGGACAGUGAUUUUAACCCUGACGCCAAAAACCUUAAACCUAAUCCUAGCCCCAUAACCUAAUACUUAAACCUGAAGGGUAUUACCUUCAGGAAGCCCGAACACCCCAAAUAUUUUUUUUGUCAUUUUACAUUUUUUUUGGUGUAACCAACUCCAAAAGGUCUGAAUCUUGUUCCUUAAAAGGUUUUGGACAGUGAUUUUAACCCUAACGCCAAAAACCUUAAACCUUACCCUAGCCCCAAAACCUAAUACCUUCAGGAAGCCCGAAAACCCCAAAUAUUUUUUUUCUUUUUUCUUUUUUUUUGGUCUAACUAACUCCAAAAGGUCUGAAACAUGUUCCUUAAAAAAUAUUGGACAGUGAUUUUAACCCUCACGCCAAAAACCUUAAACCUAAUCCUAGCCCCAAAACCUAAUACCCGGGUAUUACCUUCAGGAAGCCCGAACACCCCAAAUAUUAAUUUUUCAUUUUUUUAUUGGUCUAACUAACUCCAAAAGGUUGGAAAAGACUUCCUACAAAGGUUUUGGACAGUGAUUUUAACCCUCACGCCAAAAACCUUAAACCUUACCCUAGCCCCAUAACCUAGGGUAAAGCCCCUUUACCUAAUACCCGGGUAUUACCUUCAGGAAGCCCGAACACCCCAAAUAUUUUUUUUUCAUUUAUCUUUUUUUUUUUGUCUAACUAACUCCAAAAGGUUGGAAAAGACUUCCUAUAAAUGACUAACUCCAAAAGGUUGGAAAAGACUUCCUACAAAGGUAAUACAAAGUAUUACCUUCAGGAAGCCUGAACACCCCAAAUUUAUAUAUUUUUUUUUCUUUUUUUUUUUUUGGUCAAACUAGCUCCAAAAAGUCUGAAACAUGUUCCUUAAAAAUAUUGGACAGUGAUUUUAACCCUAACGCCAAAAACAUUAAACCUAAUCCUAGCCCCAUAACCUAAUACUUAAACCUGAAGGGUAUUACCUUCAGGAAGCCCGAACACCCCAAAUAUUUUUUUUUUCAUUUAUCUUUUUUUUUUUUGUCUAACUAACUCCAAAAGGUCUGAAAAGAGUUCCUACAAAGGUUUUGGACGGUGAUUUUAACCCUUAAACCUUACCCUAGCCCCAUAACCUAAUACCCGGGUAUUACCUUCAGAAGCCCAAAAACCCCAAAUAUAUUUUUUUAAUUUUUCGUUAGUUUUUGCUCUAACUAACUCCAACCUUACCUUCAGGAAGCCCGAACACCCCCAAAAAUUUUUUUUUCAUAUUACAUUUUUUUUGGUGUAACCAACUCCAAAAGGUCUGAAACAUGUUCCUAAAAAGGUUUUGGACAGUGAUUUUAACCCUUACGCCAAAAACCUUAAACCUUACCCUAGCCCCAUAACCUAAUACCCGGGUAUUACCUUCAGGAAGCCCGAACACCCCAAAUAUUUUUUUUUCAUUUAUCUUUCUUUUUUUUGUCUACCUAACUCCAAAAGGUUGGAAAAGACUUCCUACAAACGUUUUGGACAGUGAUUUUAACCCUAACACCAAAAACCUUAAACCUUACCCUAGCCCCAAAACCUAAUACCUGGGUAUUACCUUCAGGAAGCUUGAACACCCCAAAUAUUUUUUUUUCAUUUUACAUUUUUUUUGGUGUUACCAACUCCAAAAGGUCUUAAACAUGUUCCUAAAAAGGUUUUGGACAGUGAUUUUAAACCUAACGCCAAAAACCUUAAACCUUACCCUAGCCCCAUAACCUAAUACCUGGGUAUUUCCUUCAGGAAGCCCGAAGACCCCAAAUAUAUUUUUUCAUUUUUUUUUUUUUUUGGUCUAACUAACUCCAAAAGGUCUGAAAAGAGUUCCUACAAAGGUUUUGGACGGUGAUUUUAACCCUUAAACCUUACCCUAGCCCCAUAACCUAAUACCCGGGUAUUACCUUCAGAAGCCCAAAAACCCCAAAUAUAUUUUUUUUAUUUUCCGUUAAUUUUUGCUCUAACUAACUCCAAAAGGUUGGAAAAGACUUCCUACAAAGGUUUUGGACAGUGAUUUUAACCCUAACGCCAAAAACCUUAAACCUUACUAUAGCCCCAUAACCUAAUACCCGGGUAUUACCUUCAGGAAGCUUGAACACCCCAAAUAUUUUUUUUUUCAUUUUACAUUUUUUUUGGUGUAACCUACUCCAAAAGGUCUGAAACAUGUUCCUAAAAAGGUUUUGGACAUUGAUUUUAACCCUAACGCCAAAAACCUUAAACCUAAUCCAAGCCCCAUAAACUAAUACCUGGGUAUUUCCUUCAGGAAGCCCGAAGACCCCAAAUAUAUUUUUUUCUUUUUUCUUUUUUUUUGGUCUAACUAACUCCAAAAGGUUGGAAAAGAGUUCCUACAAAGGUUUUGGACAGUGAUUUUAACCCUAACACCAAAAACAUUAAACCUUACCCUAGCCCCAAAACCUAAUACCCAGGUAUUACCUUCUGGAAGCCCGAACACCCCAAAUAUUUUUUUUUUCAUUUUACAUUUUUUUUUGGUGUAACCAACUCCAAAAGGUCUUAAACAUGUUCCUAAAAAGGUUUUGGACACUGAUUUUAACUCUAACGCCAAAAACCUUAAACCUUACCCUAGCCCCAUAACCUUAUACCUGGGUAUUACCUUCAGGAAACCCGAACACCCCAAAUAUUUUUUUUCUUUUUCUUUUUUUUUUGUCUAACUAACUCCCAAAGGUCUGAAACAUGUUCCUUAAAAAAUAUUGGACAGUUAUUUUAACCCUAACGCCAAAAACCUUAAACCUAACCCUAGCCCCAAAACCUAAUACCCGGGUAUUACCUUCAGGAAGCCCGAACACCCCAAAUAUAUAUUUUUUAUUUUUCUUUAUUUUUGGUCUAACUUGCUCUCAAAGGUUGGAAAAGAGUUCCUACAAAGGUUUUGGACAUUGAUUUUAACCCUAACGCCAAAAACCUUAAACAUUACCCUAGCCCAGAAACCUAGUAUUACCUUCAGGAAGCCCGAACACCCCAAAAAAAUUUUUUUUCAUUUUACAUUUUUUUUGGUGUAACCAACUCCAAAAGGUCUGAAACAUGUUCCUAAAAAGGUUUUGGACAGUGAUUUUAACCCUUACGCCAAAAACCUUAAACCUUACCCUAGCCCCAUAACCUAAUACCCGGGUAUUACCUUCAGGAAGCCCGAACACCCCAAAUAUUUUUUUUUCAUUUAUCUUUUUUUUUUUUGUCUAACUAACUCCAAAAGGUUGGAAAAGACUUCCUACAAAGGUUUUUGACAGUGAUUUUAAGCCUCACGCCAAAAACCUUAAACCUUAACCUAGCCCCAUAACCUAAUACCCGGCUAUUACCUUCAGGAAGCCCGAACGACCCAAAUAUAUAUUUUUUCUUUUUCUUUUUUUUUUUGGUCAAACUAGCUCCAAAAGGUCUGAAACAUGUUCCUUAAAAAAUAUUGGACAGUGAUUUUAACCCUUACGCCAAAAACCUUAAACCUAAUCCAAGCCCCAUAACCUAAUACUUAAACCUGAAGGGUAUUACCUUCAGGAAGCCCGAACAACCUAAAUAUUUUUUUUUUCAUUUUACAUUUUUUUUUGGUGUAACCAACUCCAAAAGGUCUGAAUCUUGUUUCUUAAAAGGUUUUGGACAGUGAUUUUAACUCUAACACCAAAAACCUUAAACCUUACCCUAGCCCCAAAACCUAAUACCUUCAGGAAGCCCGAAAACCCCAAAUAUUUUUUUUUCUUUUUCCUUUUUUUUUGGUCUAACUAACUCCAAAAGGUCUGAAACAUGUUCCUUAAAAAAUAUUGGACAGUGAUUUUAACCCUAACGCCAAAAACCUUAAACCUAAUCCUAGCCCCAAAACCUAAUACCCGGGUAUUACCUUCAGGAAGCCCGAACACCCCAAAUUUUUUUUUUUCAUUUUUCUUUUUUUUAGUGGUCUAACUAACUCCAAAAGGUUGGAAAAGACUUCCUACAAAGGUUUUGGACAGUGAUUUUAACUCCACGCCAAAAACCUUAAACCUUAACCUAGCCCCAUGAGGGGAGUCACGCGACGUGAUGCGAGAGGAAGCCACGGAGUAGGGAGCUCCGCACUUCAUCGCUAUCUUUAUCCUGUUUAAUAUCAACACCAGAUAUAUUAUCACUCAGACUAAGUACUUUUAGUUGAAGGGGGUGCUAAAAAUGUUGAAACUUUCUAAGACUUCAGGCUGUGGAGACAUAAAAAGACUACUACGGUCUCAGGGGGCCGACGCCAUGAUGCAAGAUGGAGCUAAAGCGCCCGAGCAGCAGCAAGCUAACGACUUAGCUCAAGAUAUUAGCAACAUCUACUCAAUGCUUACAAAGAUUUCUGAAGAUCUCGGGGGGCUCGCAGAAAUACGUCGCACCACAGCGUCGGUGGAAGCUAAACUAUCAUCCCUUAUUACAAGAAUGGACGACGUAGAGAAACGAGUGGAGUACUUGGAAGUGACUGAGCAGGGCUGGCAAGCUAACCCGCCAGCUAACAAGGCUGAUAUCGCACAGAUAUGGGACAAAUUAGAGGACAUGGAGAAUCGCUCAAGGCGUAACAACGUUCGUUUCGUCGGCUUUCCGGAGGGUAAGGAGGCAGGAGACGUGGUGAGAUUUCUGGAGGAGCUGUUGCCGAGUCUGCUAAACAUCGAGGGGAGACGGGAGAUUGAACGGGCCCACCGGGUCCCGAGCCAGAGACCAGCGCCAGGCGACCGGCCCAGACCAAUACUGGCCCGGUUUUUGAGAUCGUCGGACCGGGAUGCGGUGAUGAGAGCAGCGAGGAACAAAGGCAAGCUGACCUGGGGGAAUACUACUGUCAUGCUUUUCCCCGAUUACUCCAGGGCCACCCAGAUGAAGCAUGAGAAAUUCAAAGAUUGCAAGAAAAAACUGCACGACCGAGGGGUUGGUUUCAGGAUGCUGUUCCCAGCUAAGCUGAGAAUUGAGACCGGCAGCGGUGAGAAAGCUUUUGAGUGCCCACGGAAAGCCAUGGCCUUCAUAGAUGCUUUGCAGUGAGUAUUGAUGGAUGGAGGUGUUCAUAUUGGUAUCCUGCGCGCCCAAACGUCUGCUGAGGACACUGGUGUUGCCUUAUUUUCCUGUGCAGUAGCGGUGAGUGAGGGAUCACGACAAGUGGAGCCACGCGGACCUGACACGGACCGUCAGACCUCGGCUAGAGGGACUUUUGAGGGGGUUAGAAUGUGCAAAGUUCAGGUUUAAUUGCACUAAAUUUGUGUUAUUUAUUAUUAUUAUUAUUUUCUUUUCUUGGGGGAGGGGGCGGGGUACAGUCGCCACCACUGUAAGGAUAUUGCUUUUGAUAAACGGCCAUGUGUUAUCGAUGAUUAGGCAGACAUGUCUUCACAAUUAAAUUUAAUGCGUCUCUCCACUUGGAAUGUUAAUGGUUUGGGGAAUCCCGUCAAGAGAAAAAGGUGAUGGCCAUCCUUAAGGCCAAAAAAUAUGAUGUGGUGUUUCUUCAAGAAACUCACAUGUCAAAAGAAGAAUCUGAGAAGCUCUGUGUAGGAUGGGUUGGACAUGUUUUUUACAGUGUAGGCUCCAGCAAGAGUAAAGGGGUUAUAAUUUUAGUAAGUAAACAUCUACAAUUUAAGUGUCUCAAGCAAAUAAGAGAUAAUACAGGUAGGAUGAUUAUAGUACUGGCUGAAAUACAGUUGCAGAAACUAAUUUUGGCCAAUAUAUAUGCUCCUAAUCUGGAUGAUCAAUCUUUUUCUCUGAUCUUGAAGGGAAGUUACAAAUACUGGGGGCUCAGCCCGUUGUUCAUGGAGGAGACUUUAAUCUGUUAAUGGACCCAGUGCUUGAUCACAGUGGGGCAAUGUUGCGUAAAAUGCCAAAAGCCGCUUUGACACUACAAAGAAUUUGCAAAUCUUUAGGAUUGAUAGAUAUCUGGAGGCUCAUGAACCCGUCAGGCAGGGAUUAUACUUUUUACUCAUCAGUACAUAAGAUUUAUAGCCGAAUAGAUUUUUUCCUAAUAUCCAAAGAGCUCAGUCCCUGUGCAGUGAGAUGUGAAAUAGGGUCUAUUUUGAUCUCUGAUCAUGCUACUGUCAGUUUGGACUUGUUACCGCAAGAUGAGAGAAGAAGGUCUUAUAGAUGGCGUCUAAACUCGUCACUUUUACAGGACCCAGCAAAUACAGAAUGGUUGAGGACCGAACUUAAAAGUUAUUUAGAGAUCAACUGGCAGUCUGUAUCAUCAGCUGGCGUGGCAUGGGAGGCCCUAAAGGCAGUGGUUAGAGGACGUAUAAUCCAACACACAUCAUACAAUAAGAAAAAUAAAACACGGGAGCUGCUAGAAUUAGAAAAUAAAAUAAAACAGGUUGAAACAGAGCUGAAGCAACAAUUAACACAAAAUGGCAUGAAAAAAUUGACAAAACUAAAAUAUCAAUACAAUAACUUAAUAACCCAUAAGAUUGAAUUUAACUUAUUCAGGGCAAGACAAACCUAUUUCGAGUCAGGAGAUAAAGCAGGAAAGCUACUUGCCAGUUAUAUAAAACAGAGGGAGUUGGCUUCCACUAUUCCUGCUAUUAGAUUGCAGUCUGGAGACCUGCUUACUGCAACGGUAGACAUUAAUCAGGCUUUUAAGGAAUUUUAUAGUAAUUUAUAUAGUUCAAACUGUACCUCUGAUGAAGAAGAAAUUCAUAGCUUUAUAGAACAGUUAGGACUCCCAAAACUGACGGAUGAACAGAGGGAUUUUCUUGAUUCAGAUAUUACUAUUGAGGAAAUUAAAGGGGUAAUUAAGGCAUUGCCAACAGGCAAGGCACCGGGGCCGGAUGGCUUCACGGGGGAAUUCUUUAAGUGCUUUGCCUCGGAACUAGCUUCACCUUUACUGGAGGUAUAUAGGGAGGCGCUGGGGAGAGGGGUGUUGCCACCCACUUUGAGACAGGCCCUCAUUAGUCUAAUUCCUAAGAAAGGUAAAGAUUGGAAGGAAUGUAAGAACUAUCGUCCGAUAUCAUUAAUGCAAAUCGAUGUUAAGAUAAUUUCUAAAAUUUUAGCAAACCGUUUAGACAGCAUAAUUACAUCAUUGAUCCAUAGUGAUCAGGUAGGAUUCAUUCGUGGUCGUAGCUCCUCCGAUAAUAUAAGACGCCUCAUUGAUGUCAUGUGGUCGCUGGCUGACACCCAGUCCCCAGUUGCUGCAAUCUCGUUGGACGCCGAAAAAGCGUUCGACAUGGUAGAAUGGGGGUUUCUAUUUAAAAUCUUAGAAGAAUUUGGAUUUGGUAUUACAUUUAUAAAAUGGAUUCGUAUGUUAUAUAAACAUCCAGAAGCAGCAGUUCAGACUAAUGGGCUCAUAUCAGACUACUUUAUGUUGGGCAGAGGAACUAGACAGGGGUCACCCCUCUCUCCUUUGCUUUUUUGUUUAGCUAUUGAGCCACUAGCAGCAGCCAUACGUAAAGCAAAUGAUUUCCCAGGGGUCACCAUAGGCGGGAAGGUCCACAAGUUGAUGUUAUAUGAGGACGAUAUUUUAUUACUGGUUUCCGAACCCAGAAGAUCUGUGCCAUGCUUGCUUGGAAUCAUAAAUACCUUCUGAAAACUGUCCGGCUAUAUUUUUUAUUUUUAUUAUUUUUUUGGUCUAACUUGCUCUCAAAGGUUGGAAAAGAGUUCCUACAAAGGUUUUGGACAUUGAUUUUAACCCUAACGCCAAAAACCUUAAACAUUACCCUAGCCCAGAAACCUAAUAUUACCUUCAGGAAGCCCGAACACCCCAAAUAUAUAUUUUUUUUCUUUUUCUUUUUUUUUGGUGUAACUAACUCCAAAAGGUCUGAAACAUGUUCCUAAAAAGGUUUUGGACAGUGAUUUUAACCCUCACGCCAAAAACCUUAAACCUUAACCUAGCCCCAUAACCUAAUACCCGGGUAUUACCUUCAGGAAGCCCGAACACCCCAAAUAUUUUUUUUUUCUUUUUUCUUUUUUUUUGGUCUAACUAACUCCAAAAGGUCGGAAAAGAUUUCCUACAAAGGUUUUGGACGGUGAUUUUAACCCUAACACCAAAAACCUUAAACCUUACCCUAGCCCCAAAACCUAAUACCUGGGUAUUACCUUCAGGAAGCUUGAACACCCCAAAUAUUUUUUUUUUCAUUUUACAUUUUUUUUUGGUGUUACCAACUCCAAAAGGUCUGAAACAUGUUCCUAAAAAGGUUUUGGACAGUGAUUUUAACCCUGACGCCAAAAACCUUAAACCUUACCCUAGCCCCAUAACCUCAUACCCGGGUAUUUCCUUCAGGAAGCCCGAAGACCCCAAAUAUAUUUAGGGCCCGAGCGUAGCUGCUAAGCAGCUGCGAGAGCCCUAUUAUUCCCCAAGUGGUUUUUCUUUGUUUCUUUCUUUCUUUCUUUCUUUCUUUCUUUCUUUCUUCUUUUUCCUCCCCUUUGAACUGGAAAAUGGCCCACUUCCCACUGGCGAAAACUCAUGAAAUUUGGCAGGACGACCGGGCCUGGUGAAAAAUUCGAUAUUCUGAAGUCGCCCAAACAAUAAAAUGCAAAAUGGCUCCAUAGCGCCCCCUAAGGUGGAAAUUCACACUAUUGACUGUCACGCCUGUACGCUUUGUCAUAUUGACACAAAAAUUGACACACAUAUGUAUCUCAAUAAGAUCUACAAAAAAGUCAGUGCGGCCGUAUCUGUCAAAAUUACGGUUAAAGGGUUAUUUCGCAUUUUUUGCCGAUCCGCACACAUUGGAAUUUCGCUAACUCCUCCGAAGGCUUUCGUUCCACCGGCACCACAUUUGCUCAGGCCAAUCUACACCCCGUGGCCAUUAAAAGUUAUCAAAAUCAUGACGCUGCACCCCAAGGUUUAGGUUCUAGGGGGCGCCAAAGAUAACACUAAAAUCCACAUAUUUAAAAGUCUUAUAACUUUUUAUUUUUGUCCUCACUGGCCUCCAAGUUUUCUAGGAUGAUGCAAUGUCCAGCCAUCAACACAUUUGUGAAGGAAUUUUUACUCCCCAAAAGAGCGCCCCCCCAUGGCAGGAGAAAAAAGUCCAUUUUUUCUUGUCCCCUAAGGUGAAAAUACACAUUGUUGAGUGUCACACCUGUACGCUUUGUCAAAAUGACACAAAAUUUGACACACACGUGUAUCUCAAUUAGAUCUACAAAAAAGUCAGUGCGGGCGUAUCUGUCAAAUGUACGGUUAAAGGGCUAUUUUGCAUUUUUUGCCGAUCCGCACACAGUAGAAUUUCGCUAACUCCUCCGAAGGCUUUCGUUCCACCGGCACCACAUUUGCUCAGGCCAAUCUACACCCCAUGGCCAUUAAAAGUUGUUCAAAUCAUGACGCUGCACCCCAUUGUUUAGGUUCUAGGGGGCGCCAAAGAUAACCCAAAAAUCCACAUUCUUAAAAGUCUAAUAACUUUUUAUUUUUGCCCUCACUGGCCUCCAAGUUUUCUAGGAUGAUGCAAUGUCCAGCCAUCAACACAUUUGUGAAGGAAUUUUUACUCCCCAAAAGAGCGCCCCCCAUGGCAGGAGAAAGAAGUCCAUUUUUUCUUGUCCCCUAAGGUGAAAAUACAUAUUGUUGAGUGUCACGCCUAUACGCUUUGUCAUAUUGACACAAAAUUUGACACACACGUGUAUCUCAAUAAGAUCUACAAAAAUUCUAUGCGCACGUAUCUGUCAAAUGUACGGUUAAAGGGCUAUUUCGCAUUUUUUGCCGAUCCGCACACAUUGGAAUUUCGCUAACUCCUCCGAAGGCUUUCGUUCCACCGGCACCACAUUUGCUCAGGCCAAUCUACACCCCAUGGCCAUUAAAAGUUGUACAAAUCAUGACGCUGCACCACACGGUUUACAUUCUAGGGGGCGCCAAAGAUAACCCAAAAAUCCACAUUCUUAAAAGUCUUAUAACUUUUCAUUUUUGUCCUCACUGGCUUCCAAGUUUUCUAGGAUGAUGCAUUGUCUAGCCAUCAACACAUUUGUGAAGGAAUUUUUACUCCCCAAAAGAGCGCCCCCCCAUGGCAGGAGAAAAAGUCAAGUUUUUCCUGCCCAUCGCUCAAUGGCUCAAACACAUGUCAUGUGUUCAAACUCCUCCGAAAGGAGGAGCAACUUGCCAUUUGGAUAUAUCCUAGCUGUGUUUGUGCCCUCACUCAUGAUCCAGACUUUUUUCAAAUAGGACAUGUAGUUUGUCUGCAGCGAGCGUUUUGGCAGAAACUGCGCCUCCCAUUCAUUAUAAUGGUAAAUGACCACAGACAAGUGCGAACACCAUCUUUGGACCUUGAGUGUGAUGCGAUCGGGAGGGAGAGGCGGUCGUGUUGGGGGCGGCGCGACACAGCUCGGGCCCGCCAGUGCCCCAACGGGGCCCUAGUUUUUUCUUUUUCUUUUUUUUUGGUCUAACUAACUCCAAAAGGUCGGAAAAGAGUUCCUACAAAGGUUUUGGACGGUGAUUUUAACCCUAACACCAAAAACCUUAAACCUUACCCUAGCCCCAAAACCUAAUACCCGGGUAUUACCUUCAGGAAGCCCGAACACCCCAAAUAUUUUUUUUCAUUUUACAUUUUUUUUGGUGUAACCAACUCCAAAAGGUCUUAAACAUGUUCCUAAAAAGGUUUUGGACACUGAUUUUAACUCUAACGCCAAAAACCUUAAACCUUACCCUAGCCCCUUAACCUAAUACCCGGGUAUUACCUUCAGGAAGCCCGAACACCCCAAAUUUUUUUUUCUUUUUCUUUUUUUUUUUUGUCUAACUAACUCCCAAAGGUCUGAAACAUGUUCCUUAAAAAAUAUUGGACAGUGAUUUUAACCCUAACGCCAAAAACCUUAAACCUAACCCUAGCCCCAAAACCUAAUACCCGGGUAUUACCUUCAGGAAGCCCGAAAACCCCAAUUUUUUUUUUUCAUUUUCUGUUUUUUUUUUGGUCUAACUAACUCCAAAACGUUGGAAAAUAGUUCCUACAAAGGUUUUGGACAGUGAUUUUAACCCUAACGCCAAAAACCUUAAACCUUACUAUAGCCCCAUAACCUAAUACCUGGGUAUUUCCUUCAGGAAGCCCGAAGACCCCAAAUAUUUUUUUUUUCAUUUUACAUUUUUUUUGGUGUAACCAACUCCAAAAGGUUUGAAACAUGUUCCUAAAAAGGUUUUGGACAGUGAUUUUAACCCUAACGCCAAAAACCUUAAACCUUACCCUAGCCCCAUAACCUAAUACCUGGGUAUUUCCUUCAGGAAGCCCGAAGACCCCAAAUAUAUUUUUUUUUCUUUUGUUUUUUUUGGUCUAACUAACUCCAAAAGGUUGGAGAGAGUUCCUACAAAGGUUUUGGACAGUGAUUUUAACCCUAACACCAAAAACCUUAAACCUUACCCUAGCCCCAAAACCUAAUACCCAGGUAUUACCUUCAGGAAGCCCGAACACCCCAAAUAUUUUUUUUUUUUAAUUUUACUUUUUUUUUUGGUGUAACCAACUCCCAAAGGUCUUAAACAUGUUCCUUAAAAAAUAUUGGACAGUUAUUUUGACCCUAACGCCAAAAACCUUAAACCUAACCCUAGCCCCAAAACCUAA